GAUGAACGCUAGCGGCAGGCUUAACACAUGCAAGUCGAGGGGUAUAGCUCUUCGGAGCUAGAGACCGGCGCACGGGUGCGUAACGCGUAUGCAAUCUACCUUUUGCAGAGGGAUAGCCCAGAGAAAUUUGGAUUAAUACCUCAUGGUAUGUGAGAAUGGCAUCAUUUUCACAUUAAAGUCACAACGGCAAAAGAUGAGCAUGCGUCCCAUUAGCUAGUUGGUAAGGUAACGGCUUACCAAGGCAACGAUGGGUAGGGGUCCUGAGAGGGAGAUCCCACACACUGGUACUGAGACACGGACCAGACUCCUACGGGAGGCAGCAGUGAGGAAUAUUGGACAAUGGGCGCAAGCCUGAUCCAGCCAUGCCGCGUGCAGGAUGACGGUCCUAUGGAUUGUAAACUGCUUUUGUACAGGAAGAAACACUGGUUCGUGAACCAGCUUGACGGUACUGUAAGAAUAAGGAUCGGCUAACUCCGUGCCAGCCGCCGCGGUAAUAC
rnacentral:rRNA from 1 species